CAACCCUCAAGCCCCUUUGGACUUGGUGUUGGGGACCGGCGAUGGACAACCCGUCCUGUCGCCGCCCCCUAAAUGACUUGGCGGCCUCGUCGCGGCCCUCCUCUGCGUAGUAGCACACACCUCGCAACAGGAGCCCGGCGAAUGGCCACUGCCGUAAAACCCCCAACUUUUUUCAGAG
rnacentral:misc_RNA from 1 species